ACGGCCCGCGAUCGCAGCAGCGCGGACUACGAGUCCAGGGUUAAUAGAGCGGGCACGGCCCGCGAUCGCAGCAGCGCGGACUACGAGUCCAGGUUAAUAGAGCGGGCACGGCCCGCGAUCGCAGCAGCGCGGACUACGAGUCCAGGUUAAUAGAGCGGGCACGGCCCGCGAUCGCAGCAGCGCGGACUACGAGUCCAGUGGGUAUUAGGGCGGGCACGGCCCGAGAAUUAAACUUUCCAUUAUCAUUGACUGCUAUAACAUUUUACUGAUGAUUGUUAUUAGACACCUUGUAAGUCAUGAUGCGAACAAAGCAAAUAUAACAGGGGAAGCGAAAUUAAUGUCAAAACUAAUGUCAGGAAGCACCAAAUGCAGAACCAAGGACAGACUGUCCUUGGAGAACACCCCCAAAACCAAAGGACCAGGGAAAUUAACAUCAGCACAAACCAUAAGACAUAAAGCAACGACAAACC